rnacentral:rRNA from 1 species
GAUGAACGCUGGCGGCGUGCCUAAUACAUGCAAGUCGAGCGAACAGAUGAGGAGCUUGCUCCUCUGACGUUAGCGGCGGACGGGUGAGUAACACGUGGAUAACCUACCUAUAAGACUGGGAUAACUUCGGGAAACCGGAGCUAAUACCGGAUAAUAUAUUGAACCGCAUGGUUCAAUAGUGAAAGACGGUUUUGCUGUCACUUAUAGAUGGAUCCGCGCCGCAUUAGCUAGUUGGUAAGGUAACGGCUUACCAAGGCAACGAUGCGUAGCCGACCUGAGAGGGUGACCGCCCACACUGGAACUGAGACACGGUCCAGACUCCUACGGGAGGCAGCAGUAGGGAAUCUUCCGCAAUGGGCGAAAGCCUGACGGAGCAACGCCGCGUGAGUGAUGAAGGUCUUCGGAUCGUAAAACUCUGUUAUUAGGGAAGAACAAAUGUGUAAGUAACUAUGCACGUCUUGACGGUACCUAAUCAGAAAGCCACGGCUAACUACGUG